rnacentral:rRNA from 1 species
CWAAUGACUCUCGGCAAUGGAUAUCUCGGCUCUUGCAUCGAUGAAGAACGUAGUGAAAUGCGAUACUUGGUGUGAAUUGCAGAAUCUCGUGAACCAUUGAGUCUUUGAACGCAAGUUGUGCCCGAGGCCUUGUGGCCRAGGGCACGCCUGCUUGGGCGUCAUGA